GCAGCUGUGGUGUAGUGGUUAUCACUUUCGUCUAACAUUUCCUAUCACGGAAUAGUGAACACGAACGGUCCCCGGUUCGAAACCGGGCAGCUGUA